GAGGGCAUAGCUCAGUGGUAGAGUGCAUGCCUAGCAUGCACGAGGUCCUGGGUUCAAUCCCCAGUGCCUCCA
rnacentral:tRNA from 1 species